rnacentral:rRNA from 1 species
AUUGAACGCUGGCGGAAUGUUUUACACAUGCAAGUCGAACGGCAGCACGGACUUCGGUCUGGUGGCGAGUGGCGAACGGGUGAGUAAUGUAUCGGAACGUGCCCAGUCGUGGGGGAUAACGUAGUGAAAAUUACGCUAAUACCGCAUACGAUCUCUGGAUGAAAGCGGGGGAUCGCAAGACCUCGCGCGAUUGGAGCGGCCGAUAUCAGAUUAGGUAGUUGGUGGGGUAAAGGCCCACCAAGCCAACGAUCUGUAGCUGGUCUGAGAGGACGACCAGCCACACUGGAACUGAGACACGGUCCAGACUCCUACGGGAGGCAGCAGUGGGGAAUUUUGGACAAUGGGCGAAAGCCUGAUCCAGCCAUUCCGCGUGCAGGAUGAAGGCCCUCGGGUUGUAAACUGCUUUUGUACAGAACGAAAAGGUUUCUACUAAUACUAGGAGCUCAUGACGGUACUGUAAGAAUAAGCACCGGCUAACUACGUGCCAGCCGCCGCAGUAA